GGAAGCCCGUUAAUGAGGAGCUGCUCCUGAUUGAUAAACAUUUGAGUGAGUGGCGGACGGGUGAGUAACACGUGGGUAACCUGCCCUAAAGUGGGGGAUAACAUUUGGAAACAGAUGCUAAUACCGCAUAAAACCUAACACCGCAUGGUGUAGGGUUGAAAGAUGGUUUCGGCUAUCACUUUAGGAUGGACCCGCGGUGCAUUAGUUAGUUGGUGAGGUAAAGGCUCACCAAGACCGUAGAUGCAUAGCCGACCUGAGAGGGUAAUCGGCACACACUGGGACUGAGACACGGCCCAGACUCCUACGGGAGGCAGCAGUAGGGAAUCUUCCACAAUGGACGAAAGUCUGAUGGAGCAACGCCGCGUGAGUGAAGAAGGUUUUCGGAUCGUAAAACUCUGUUGUUGGAGAAGAAUGUAUCUGAUAGUAACUGAUCAGGUAGUGUACGGUAUCCUAACCAGAAAGCCACGGCUAACUUACGUGCCAGCAGCCGCGGUAAUACGUAGGUGGCAAGCGUUGUCCGGAUUUAUUGGGCGUAAAGCGAGCGCAGGCGGUUUCUUAAGUCUGAUGUGAAAGCCUUCGGCUCAACCGAAGAAGUGCAUCGGAAACUGGGAAACUUGAGUGCAGAAGAGGACAGUGGAACUCCAUGUGUAGCGGUGAUGGGCCGUUAAUAAAA
rnacentral:rRNA from 1 species